GCAGACACAUUCCAGCCAAUCAGCAGCAGACCCUCCCUCCCAGACUCUCCCACCUCCUGGACAGCAUCCAUUUUACAUUCAUUGUGAAGCUGCAUUCUUAGUGAGCUGUCCAGGAGGUGGGAGGGUCUGGAAGGGAGGGUCUGCUGCUGAUUGGCUGGAAUGUGUCUG